UUUCCGUAGGUGAACCUGCGGAAGGAUCAUUGCACACACGAUGCAGCAAACUAGCGAACUGUGUUUGUCCCCCACCUACCCCAAACACGAGGGGCCGCAUCUGGAGGUGCGGCUGUCGACGGCAAGGUCCCGACCUUCGGGUCCCCGCAGUGGUUCCCGCAAGCGGGCUGAUCAUGUCGCCGUCUGGGUGUCCCGCGCGGGCUCUCGCCUUGCCUUAGGGUUGGGCGACGCGGGCAUUCUCCUCCCUUCGAUGGCGUCGUCCCCUCCUCCGGGAGAGCGACCCGCCUCGCGGGCCGUUUACAACUUUGCACCAUGUACAACACCAGUGACGGAGUAUACCUGUGUCCCGGUUCCGCUGCUGCCCUCGGGGAGUGCGGGAUUGGUCCAUAGUAACAAGAGUAAAUAAAAACAACUCUCAGCAACGGAUAUCUUGGCUCUU
rnacentral:misc_RNA from 1 species